AAAAAAUUAGCGAUCGAAAGCCCUUUCUGCUUCGCUUUCCGUCGGCAUUUCUCGAUGCAGAGGGAAUGGAGGAGGCGCAAGACAGGCAAACCGGGCCGAAAUAGAAUCAAACCCAUUACUUUAUCUCUGAGAAAUUUUUUCUCGACCUCAGAUCAGCCGAGGCUACCCGCUAAAUUUAAGCAUAUCACUAAGCGGAGGAAAAGAAACUAACAAGGGUUCCCCUAGUAACGGCGAGCGAACGGGGAUGGGCCCAGCACCGAACCCUGCGCUAUUCAAGCGUUAGGGAAUGUGGUGUUUGGGAGGGACCCUUCUCGCGGCAUUCGGAGCGCUCUAAGUCCGUUUGAACGCGGCCAUCGCCCACAGAGGGUGACAGGCCCGUUUGAACGUUCCGUGUCGUGGGUUGGUCUCUCCUUGGAGUCGGGUUGCUUGAGAGUGCAGCCCUAAGAGGGUGGUAAACUCCAUCUAAGGCUAAAUACGACCACGAGACCGAUAGCGAACAAGUAACGUGAGGGAAAGUUGAAAAGAACUUUGAAGAGAGAGUUCAAGAGUAUACGUGAAACCGUUCAGAGGUAAAACGGGCGGAACCUCGAUGCCGAAUGGGGGACUCAGUUCGGGGACCUGGAACCUGCCUCGGUGCGAGAUGCCGUGCAGCGAGACUAAUCGAACCAUCUGAUGUUCUGGUUCCCUCCGAAGUUUCCCUCAGGAUAGCUGGUGCUCGGAGAGUUGGAUGAAUUUUAAUCAGUCUCAUCCGGUAAAGCGAAUGAUUAGAGGCCUUGGGGCCGAAAUGACCUCAACCUAUUCUCAAACUUUAAAUGGGUGAGAAGUCGGGCUUGCUUGACACAACCCUCACGGGUUUGAAGCCUGACAAAGGAUGAAUGAGCACCCAGUGGGCCACUUUUGGUAAGCAGAACUGGCGCUGUGGGAUGAACCAAACGCCGGGUUACGGCGCCCGAUACGACGCUCAUUAGACCCCAUGAAAGGUGUUGGUUGCUUUAGACAGCAGGACGGUGGCCAUGGAAGUCGGAAUCCGCUAAGGAGUGUGUACUAACUCACCUGCCGAAGCAACUAGCCCUGAAAAUGGAUGGCGCUCAAGCGUCGAGCCUAUACCCGGCCGCCCGGGCAGAGCAGGCCCUCCAAGGUUUUCUUCGGAAACGAGAGCCCACAGGCCCCGGCGAGUAGGAGGGUCGCGACGGUGUGCGCAGAAGGGUCUGGGCGUGAGCCUGCCUGGAGCCGCCGUCGGUGCAGCGUGAUGUUCCUUCGGACUCUAGGGAGGAUCCGUUUUAGGACGGACGAGCGGGUCAAACUCCUUGUCCGCCCCGGCGCACUCCCGGGCCGUCCCGACCGCUAUUUGCCGGUUGGGCGCACCUAGAGCGUACACGUUGGGACCCGAAAGAUGGUGAACUAUGCCUGGCCAGGACGAAGCCAGAGGAAACUCUGGUGGAGGUCCGUAGCGAUUCUGACGUGCAAAUCGAUCGUCGGAGCUGGGUAUACCUCCGAAAGACUAAUCGAACCAUCUAGUAGCUGGUUCCCUCCGAAGUUUCCCUCAGGAUAGCUGGUGCUCGGAGAGUUGGACGACUUUAUCAGUCUCAUCCGGUAAAGCGAAUGAUUAGAGGCCUUGGGGCCGAAAUGACCUCAACCUAUUCUCAAACUUUAAAUGGGUGAGAAGUCGGGCUUGCUUGACACAACCCUCACGGGUUUGAAGCUUGACACAGGAUGUAAGAGCACCCAGUGGGCCACUUUUGGUAAGCAGAACUGGCGCUGUGGGAUGAACCAAACGCCGGGUUACGGCGCCCGAUACGACGCUCAUUAGACCCCAUGAAAGGUGUUGGUUGCUUUAGACAGCAGGACGGUGGCCAUGGAAGUCGGAAUCCGCUAAGGAGUGUGUACUAACUCACCUGCCGAAGCAACUAGCCCUGAAAAUGGAUGGCGCUCAAGCGUCGAGCCUAUACCCGGCCGCCGGGGCAGAGCAGGCCUUCCGAGGUUUCCAAGGAACGAGAGCCCACAGGCCCCGGCGAGUAGGAGGGUCGCGACGGUGUGCACAGAAGGGUCUGGGCGUGAGCCUGCCUGGAGCCGCCGUCGGUGCAGAUCUUGGUAGUAGUAGCAAAUACUCAAGUGAGAUCCUUGAGGGCUGAUUGUGGAGAAGGGUUCCAUGUAAACAGCCUUUGAACAUGGUUCAGUCGAUCCUAAGCCUUAGGAGAAAUCCGUUCCCAACUUCGCGGCCAACCUAAACACAACAAAUUCAAAUGAAUCCAUAGUUGCCGCGGGAACAGGCGAAAGGGAAUCCGGUACUUCUUCCGGAACCUGGUCACGGACAGUUGGGCGAGACCUAAUCUCACCCACACGCUGCAUAGCAAACAAACUCGGAGACGUCGAUCGGAACCCCGGGAAGAGUUUUCUUUUCUGUAUAAGGGACCUUAGACCCUGGAAUCGGCUCGUACGGAGAGAGGGUUUGGGUCCCGAAGAGCGCCGCGGUUCUUGCGGCGUCCGGAUGGUUUCGCUCGAUCCUUGAAAAUCCGAGGGAGGGCUCACCACUUUCGUGCCAGCUCGUACCCAUAUCCGCAGCAGGUCUCCAAGGUGAACAGCCUCUAGUCGAUAGAAUAAUGUAGGUAAGGGAAGUCGGCAAAUUAGAUCCGUAACUUCGGGACAAGGAUUGGCUCUGAGGGUUGGGCCGGUCGGGCUUGGUCGGGAAACGGGUAGCGGCUUCGUACCGGGACUGAGCUAGGCUUCUGGCCUAGCUCGGACUAGCGUCGGGGUCCAUCCGUGAAACGGCUUAGCUAGACGACUCUUCAUAACGGUGCGGUUCGGGUGGACACGCGCCGGUGCGUGACAUGCUUGUCGUGGAGCGUGCUUGGUCGUGUGUCCUGCUCGGGCCGUUUGCCGGUGGGAGUUGUUUCGGCCGGCAGCUAGCAAUCAGCUCAGAACUGGCACGGACCAGGGGAAUCCGACUGUCUAAUUAAAACAAAGCAUCGCGAUGGCCGUAGCCGGUGUUGACGCGAUGUGAUUUCUGCCCAGUGCUCUGAAUGUCAAAGUGAAGAAAUUCAACCAAGCUCGGGUAAACGGCGGAGUUAAACUAUGACUCCGCAUUUACAGGG
rnacentral:rRNA from 1 species